rnacentral:rRNA from 1 species
AAGCUCGUAGUUGAAUUUCGGGGUUAGUAGGUUGGUCAUGCCUCUGGUAUGUACUGGUCUCACUGAUUCCUCCUUCCUUUUGAACCGUAAUGCCAUUAAUUUGGUGUUGCGGGGAAUUUGGACUGUUACUUUGAAAAAAUUAGAGUGUUUAAAAGCAGGCUAACGCUUGAAUACAUUAGCAUGGAAUAAUGAAAUAGGACGUUCGAUCUUAUUUUGUUGGUUUCUAGGAUUGACGUAAUGAUUAAUAGGGAUAGUUGGG